AAUCCAUGCAUCAAACAUUUUCGAAGUAAUUCUUUAAAUCAUUCCCAAGCUUCAUAUAACAUUUCGUCCUUUGAUUGUCGAAAAGAUGUGAUGUCAUUUCUAUGCUU
rfam:Gossypium hirsutum cultivar TM-1 chromosome 3, whole genome shotgun sequence